rnacentral:misc_RNA from 1 species
AACGCACAUUGCGCCCCUUGGUAUUCCAUGGGGCAUGCCUGUUCGAGCGUCAUUUGUACCCUCAAGCUCUGCUUGGUGUUGGGUGUUUGUCCUGCCUUUUGCGUGUGGACUCGCCUUAAAGCGAUUGGCAGCCGGCAUAUUGGCCUUGGAGCGCAGCACAUUUUGCGCUUCUCGUCAAUUAUUGUUGGCAUCCAGUAAGUACAAAUUCUAACUUUUGACCUCGGAUCAGGUAGGGAUACCCGCUGAACUUAA